AUUGAACGCUGGCGGCAGGCCUAACACAUGCAAGUCGAGCGAGCGGCGGACGGGUGAGUAAUGUCUGGCUAACUGACUGAUGGAGGGGGAUAGCUACUGGAAACGGUAGCUAGUAACGCAUGCCAUCAGAUGUGCCCAGGUGGGAUUAGCUAGUGGGUGGGGUAACGGCUCACCGAGGCGACGAUCCCUAGCUGGUCUGAGAGGAUGACCAGCCACACUGGAACUGAGACACGGUCCAGACUCCUACGGGAGGCAGCAGUGGGGAAUAUUGCACAAUGGGCGCAAGCCUGAUGCAGCCAUGCCGCGUGUGUGAAGAAGGCCUUCGGGUUGUAAAGCACUUUCAGCGGGGAGGCGUUACUCGCAGAAGAAGCACCGGCUAACUCCGUGCCAGCAGCCGCGGUAAUUC
rnacentral:rRNA from 1 species